rnacentral:rRNA from 1 species
CAUGCAAGUCGAGCGGUAGCACAGGGAGCUUGCUCCUGGGUGACGAGCGGCGGACGGGUGAGUAAUGUCUGGGAAACUGCCUGAUGGAGGGGGAUAACUACUGGAAACGGUAGCUAAUACCGCAUAACGUCUUCGGACCAAAGAGGGGGACCUUCGGGCCUCUUGCCAUCAGAUGUGCCCAGAUGGGAUUAGCUAGUAGGUGAGGUAAUGGCUCACCUAGGCGACGAUCCCUAGCUGGUCUGAGAGGAUGACCAGCCACACUGGAACUGAGACACGGUCCAGACUCCUACGGGAGGCAGCAGUGGGGAAUAUUGCACAAUGGGCGCAAGCCUGAUGCAGCCAUGCCGCGUGUAUGAAGAAGGCCUUCGGGUUGUAAAGUACUUUCAGCGAGGAGGAAGGCAUUGUGGUUAAUAACCACAGUGAUUGACGUUACUCGCAGAAGAAGCACCGGCUAACUCCGUGCCAGCAGCCGCGGUAAUACGGAGGGUGCAAGCGUUAAUCGGAAUUACUGGGCGUAAAGCGCACGCAGGCGGUCUGUCAAGUCGGAUGUGAAAUCCCCGGGCUCAACCUGGGAACUGCAUUCGAAACUGGCAGGCUAGAGUCUUGUAGAGGGGGGUAGAAUUCCAGGUGUAGCGGUGAAAUGCGUAGAGAUCUGGAGGAAUACCGGUGGCGAAGGCGGCCCCCUGGACAAAGACUGACGCUCAGGUGCGAAAGCGUGGGGAGCAAACAGGAUUACAUACCCUGGUAGUCCACGCCGUAAACGAUGUCGACUUGGAGGUUGUUCCCUUGAGGAGUGGCUUCCGGAGCUAACGCGUUAAGUCGACCGCCUGGGGAGUACGGCCGCAAGGUUAAAACUCAAAUGAAUUGACGGGGGCCCGCACAAGCGGUGGAGCAUGUGGUUCAUUCGAUGCAACGCGAAGAACCUUACCUACUCUUGACAUCCACAGAAUUCCGCAGAGAUGCCUUAGUGCCUU